rnacentral:rRNA from 1 species
AUGCGGGAGGAGGUCAGGAGCUCGUCGGGGGCGGCGGCCGAGCCGCAGUUCGCCGUCGUCCGCUCGUCGUCGCCGCCGCCCACCCCGGUCGCCAGUUCUGCUGGUGCCUCAUCACCUGCUAUGCAAAUUAAUAUAGUAAGCAUAGAUUGGUUGGGUAGCAGACAAGCUUCCAGGGUUGAUUCCUCGUCACAUGUUGCACCACAUGCCUAUGGGCCUGCUCAUAGCUUUGAUGCUGCUGGAACUGCUUUGGAUUCUGCACCAUCUUGUAGACCAUGGGAGCGUGGAGACUUACUUCGUCGACUGGCAACAUUCAAACCUUCAACUUGGGAUGCUAAGCCGAAGGCUGCCAGUUCAUUGGUUUGUGCUCAAAGAGGCUGGGUAAAUGUUGACAUGGACAAAAUUGAAUGUGAAUCAUGUGGUGCGCAUCUUUUAUUCAGUGCAGUGGCAUCCUGGUCCCCAACUGAAGCUGUGAAACCUUUCUUUUUGUGUUCUGUAUUAGUUACAAAUGCUGGAGAAGCCUUUGCGGGGCAGCUUGAUGCAUCACACAAGAAUAGCUGUCCCUGGAGGGGCAAUAGCUGUGCUGAUAACUUGGUUCAGCUCCACCUUACACAGUCAGCGCUUAUUGGAGGUUUUAAAGAUCGAUGUGAUGGACUUCUACAGUUUCUCUCUCUUCCUGUGAUUGCUCCAUCUGCAAUUGAGAACAUGAGGUUGACAAGGGCUGCUCAGAUUAACCGCCUAUUAACCCAAUCGAUUAGCUUCUUAUCUGGGGAGCUGGGUUACAAAGCUGAGAAUACACCAGGAGUUGACAUCCAUCAAGGUUCAUCUUGUGGCUACUCAAGAGCGCAGAAGCUUAUAAGUCUUUGUGGAUGGGAGCCUAGGUGGCUUCCAAAUGUUCAGGACUGUGAAGAAAAUUCAACCCACUCAGCUAAAAAUGCACUUUCAAAUGAACCAGAUGAAAUGUUCUAUUCCCCCCUUGUUGAACAUCAGAAAAGUUCAUUCUCUGCAUCAGCCAAGAAAGAUAAAGGAAAAGGCAAAAGGCCCCUCAAAGAUUCGGGGUGCAGCAUGAGCUCACCUUUAUUAGAUUGUAGCCUGUGUGGAGCUACAGUUAGGAUCUGGGACUUCAGAUCUGUGUCACGUCCUAAUCGUAUUAGUCCAAAUAACACUGAUGCACCAGAAACAGGCAAAAAGCUAACACUGACACGUGGAAUUAGCGCAGCCAGUGGGAUCAACGGAUGGGUUAAUGAUGGGGCGGUAAGAGAUCAAGCUGAAGGACGUGAUGAAGCAGCAACUUAUGAGGGGAAAUUAGUAUCAAAUGCUGGAGUAGACCUUAAUCUAUCGAUGGCUGGAGGACUACCGCCACUUCAUUCUUCAAUGGCUGUUGCAUCUGAGUGUUGUAAUGGAGGGAUGGGAAGAGAUCUGAUGAUUGCGCAGCCCGCUGGAAGUGAAGUUGGUGAUCGUGCAACAUCAUAUGAGUCCCGGGGUCCAAGCUCGCGGAAGCGUAACCUUGAGGAAGGUGGGAGCACAGCUGACAAGCCACAAGACGGGGUUCGACAUGCUGACAGCAUAGAAGGAACUGUCAUUGAUCGUGAUGGUGAAGAAGUUGACGAUGACGUUCAAGAUUCAGACACCAAGAAUAAAAAACCGCGCGGAUUCAACUUUUUUGAUGCCAAUCUUCCAUCUUCUUCUGGAGCUGGUCCUAGUAGAAACUUGGGCUUUGACUUGGAUGUGGAUAUUAGUAUGUUCGGUCACUCUAGAGCUGUUGGUCUAGCUCCUGUUGAGCAUCCGUCUGCUAGAGAUUCUAUGAGGGCCUCUUCUGUUAUCGCAAUGGAUGUUCGCAGCGCUGACGAAGAUUCGAUGGAGAGUGUUGAGUAUCAUCCAGAUGCUGGUAUAGAUAUUAAUAUGCCUUCAUCUAGUGGACACAGGAAUAUUGAAAUGAAUGAUGCCUUUGAUCUCAACGAUAGCAACCAAGCACAGCAAAGUGCUUGUGCACAACCUGCUGCUGGAAGUGACGGAAGGGAGAUAGGAGGAAGCAGUACUAAUGAAGGGGAGGAAGUCCUUAAUGCAGGCACAACUCCUGCUUUUGCAAGGGAUCAGCUUAGCUUAGGAAUUAGUGGUGGAAGUGUUGGCAUGGGUGCUAGUGACGAGGCUGAAAUUCAUGGCAUUGAUGUAUCUGUGCAAAGAACCGAGAGUGGUGUAGGUGAUGCAGAACCUAUUACUGACCUUACUGAGACAAUGGGCCAUACCGGUGAAUCAGUUCCAGGGCCUGGAUUGAUGGAUGAGUUUGUACCUGAAGAAGUUGAUCGGGAAGAACCUCAUGGAGACAGCCAAGAUAUUGUGUUCCGUUCAGCAGGCCGUGCUGACAGUGGAUCAAAAUAUUUUGGUUCUAAUAAAGCUGAUUCUGGUGAGAGUGGAAAAAAGAUAGGACAUGCCAUUGGUCAUGAAAGCAGCAUGCAUCCUUCUCUCUCUUGCAAUGCUGGGGUGUAUGCCGGCUUCGAUGCAUCUAAAGAGGAAGUGACACAGGCUGGCAAAGCAGUGACUACUGAUGAUCAAGGCUUGCAAUAUGAUCUGCGGAAUGGAUUAGGAGCAACAAAUGGAGAAAAUGACUAUGAACCAGGUCUUCCAGAUUUUGAUCCUGUUAAGCAUCACAACAGUUACUGCCCAUGGGUCAAUGGAAUUGUUGCAGCCGCUUGCUGUUAUGAUACUAGUUCCAGCUCAGGCAGUUCAGAACUUUCUGGCUGGCAGCUAACUGUUGAUGCACUUGAUACAUUCCAGUCUCUUGGUCAAUCUCAGAAUCAAACUAUGCGGUCUGAAUCUGCGGCCUCGCUAAACAUGGAUGAUCAAGCAGCUUCUAACCGCAAACUGGCUAGGAGGACUUCGGUGAACAAAAGCCAUGGGAAAUGUUGA